rnacentral:misc_RNA from 1 species
UUCUGUAUGCGGCAUGCCAUGGUGACUUUUUCUCUUUGAAAGCCUUUAAAGAUCACUAAAGUAGGUCAGUUGAGAUGUUUCAACAUUUCAAGAGGGACUUCGCAUCGGGGGGGAGAAAGAACCAUUUUGAAACACUCCACUCCCUACUACCUUUAAAAAGAAUUCUUGGCCACCUUGGAAAUAAUACGUGAUCGAAGGAAAAAUCGCAGUCGCUGUACCACGCCCGACACUUGUCAACCAAAAGAGCACGUACUUUUCUUGAAAACUCACAAGACAGGAAGCAGUACAAUCACAAACAUACUCA